rnacentral:rRNA from 1 species
AUGAACGCUGGCGGCGUGCCUAAUACAUGCAAGUCGAGCGAGCAGACGAGGAGCUUGCUCCUCUGACGUUAGCGGCGGACGGGUGAGUAACACGUGGAUAACCUACCUAUAAGACUGGGAUAACUUCGGGAAACCGGAGCUAAUACCGGAUAAUAUAUUGAACCGCAUGGUUCAAUAGUGAAAGACGGUUUUGCUGUCACUUAUAGAUGGAUCCGCGCCGCAUUAGCUAGUUGGUAAGGUAACGGCUUACCAAGGCAACAAUGCGUAGCCGACCUGAGAGGGUGAUCGGCCACACUGGAACUGAGACACGGUCCAGACUCCUACGGGAGGCAGCAGUAGGGAAUCUUCCGCAAUGGGCGAAAGCCUGACGGAGCAACGCCGCGUGAGUGAUGAAGGUCUUCGGAUCGUAAAACUCUGUUAUUAGGGAAGAACAAAUGUGUAAGUAACUAUGCACGUCUUGACGGUACCUAAUCAGAAAGCCACGGCUAACUACGUG